rnacentral:rRNA from 1 species
ACGGAAGGCAGCAGUGGGGAAUAUUGCACAAUGGGGGAAACCCUGAUGCAGCGACGCCGCGUGAGCGAUGAAGUAUUUCGGUAUGUAAAGCUCUAUCAGCAGGGAAGAAAAUGACGGUACCUGACUAAGAAGCUCCGGCUAAAUACGUGCCAGCAGCCGCGGUAAUACGUAUGGAGCAAGCGUUAUCCGGAUUUACUGGGUGUAAAGGGAGCGUAGGCGGAAGGCUAAGUCUGAUGUGAAAACCCAGGGCUCAACCUUGGGACUGCAUUGGAAACUGGUUUUCUAGAGUGUCGGAGGGGUAAGUGGAAUUCCUAGUGUAGCGGUGAAAUGCGUAGAUAUUAGGAGGAACACCAGUGGCGAAGGCGGCUUACUGGACUGUAACUGACGUUGAGGCUCGAAAGCGUGGGGAGCAAACAGGAUUAGAUACCCUGGUA